rnacentral:misc_RNA from 1 species
GAUGAAGAACGUAGCGAAAUGCGAUAAGUAAUGUGAAUUGCAGAAUUCAGUGAAUCAUCGAAUCUUUGAACGCACAUUGCGCCCGCUAGUAUUCUGGCGGGCAUGCCUGUCCGAGCGUCAUUUCAACCCUCAAGCCCCCGGGCUUGGUGUUGGGGAUCGGCGAGCCUCCGCGCCCGCCGUCCCCUAAAUCUAGUGGCGGUCUCGCUGUAGCUUCCUCUGCGUAGUAGCACACCUCGCACUGGGAAACAGCGCGGCCACGCCGUUAAACCCCCAACUUCUGAACGUUUGACCUCGGAUCAGGUAGGAAUACCCGCUGAACUUAAGCAUAUCAAUAAGCGGGA